AUUGAACGCUGGCGGCAGGCUUAACACAUGCAAGUCGAGCGGUAACAGGGGUAGCUUGCUACCCGCUGACGAGCGGCGGACGGGUGAGUAACGCGUAGAAAUCUGCCUGGUAGUGGGGGAUAGCCCAGAGAAAUUUGGAUUAAUACCGCAUACGCCCUACGGGGGAAAGCGGGGGAUCUUCGGAACCUUGCACUAUUGGAUGAGCCUGCGUCGGAUUAGCUAGUUGGUGGGGUAAAGGCCUACCAAGGCAACGAUCCGUAGCUGGUCUGAGAGGAUGAUCAGCCACACUGGGACUGAGACACGGCCCAGACUCCUACGGGAGGCAGCAAGUGGGGAAUAUUGCACAAUGGGCGAAAGCCUGAUGCAGCCAUGCCGCGUGUGUGAAGAAGGCUCUAGGGUUGUAAAGCACUUUCAGCGAGGAGGAAAGGUUGUAGAUUAAUACUCUGCAGCUGUGACGUUACUCGCAGAAG
rnacentral:rRNA from 1 species